GAUCUCGCUGUUAAGAAACAGAACAUGGUUUUAAAAAAACAACAGAAAAAAACACCGUGUUUAGAUAGUGAAUGGUGUGAUUGGCGUAAAAGGGAGUUGGUGUUUUCAUGGAUGGCGAGGAUGUCCCCCAUAAUACACUUGAGAUCCAGUUUGUUGCCGAUUCGAAAGAAAGCGAACUUUUUCUAUUGCGCAACCACCCCGUUUCACAAAGUGAGGCAAUGAAAUCCGAUGGGCAUCGGGUGGUGGACAGUAAGAGGAUUUGAAUAAAAAACAAAUUAGCUAUCGAAAGUUCUUUUCUUCUUCGU
ensembl:ncRNA T22B7.11 ncRNA